rnacentral:rRNA from 1 species
AUUGAACGCUGGCGGCAGGCCUAACACAUGCAAGUCGAGCGGAUGAAGGGAGCUUGCUCCUGGAUUCAGCGGCGGACGGGUGAGUAAUGCCUAGGAAUCUGCCUGGUAGUGGGGGACAACGUUUCGAAAGGAACGCUAAUACCGCAUACGUCCUACGGGAGAAAGCAGGGGACCUUCGGGCCUUGCGCUAUCAGAUGAGCCUAGGUCGGAUUAGCUAGUUGGUGAGGUAAUGGCUCACCAAGGCGAAGAUCCGUAACUGGUCCGAGAGGAUGAUCAGUCACACUGGAACGGAGACACGGUCCAGACUCCUACGGGAGGCAGCAGUGGGGAAUAUUGGACAAUGGGCGAAAGCCUGAUCCAGCCAUGCCGCGUGUGUGAAGAAGGUCUUCGGAUUGUAAAGCACUUUAAGUUGGGAGGAAGGGUUGUAGAUUAAUACUCUGCAAUUUUGACGUUACCGACAGGAUAAGCACCGGCUAACUCUGUGCCAGCAGCCGCCGUAAAAC